GGGGAGGGGGCAGCCUAAACAUGCAGUCGAACGAUGAAGCCCACUUGUGGGUGGAUUAGUGGCGAACGGGUGAGUAACACGUGAGUAACCUGCCCUUGACUCUGGGAUAAGCCUGGGAAACUGGGUCUAAUACCGGAUAUGACCUUCCAUCGCAUGGUGGUUGGUGGAAAGCUUUUGUGGUUUUGGAUGGACUCGCGGCCUAUCAGCUUGUUGGUGGGGUAAUGGCCUACCAAGGCGACGACGGGUAGCCGGCCUGAGAGGGUGACCGGCCACACUGGGACUGAGACACGGCCCAGACUCCUACGGGAGGCAGCAGUGGGGAAUAUUGCACAAUGGGCGCAAGCCUGAUGCAGCGACGCCGCGUGAGGGAUGACGGCCUUCGGGUUGUAAACCUCUUUCAGUAGGGAAGAAGCGUAAGUGACGGUACCUGCAGAAGAAGCGCCGGCUAACUACGUGCCAGCAGCCGCGGUAAUACGUAGGGCGCAAGCGUUAUCCGGAAUUAUUGGGCGUAAAGAGCUCGUAGGCGGUUUGUCGCGUCUGCCGUGAAAGUCCCGGGGCUCAACUCCGGAUCUGCGGUGGGUACGGGCAGACUAGAGUGAUGUAGGGGAGACUGGAAUUCCUGGUGUAGCGGUGAAAUGCGCAGAUAUCAGGAGGAACACCGAUGGCGAAGGCAGGUCUCUGGGCAUUAACUGACGCUGAGGAGCGAAAGCAUGGGGAGCGAACAGGAUUAGAUACCCUGGUAGUCCAUGCCGUAAACGUUGGGCACUAGGUGUGGGGGACAUUCCACGUUUUCCGCGCCGUAGCUAACGCAUUAAGUGCCCCGCCUGGGGAGUACGGCCGCAAGGCUAAAACUCAAAGGAAUUGACGGGGGCCCGCACAAGCGGCGGAGCAUGCGGAUUAAUUCGAUGCAACGCGAAGAACCUUACCAAGGCUUGACAUGAACCGGACCGGGCUGGAAACAGUUUUUCCCCUUGUGGGCUGGUUUACAGGUGGUGCAUGGUUGUCGUCAGCUCGUGUCGUGAGAUGUUGGGUUAAGUCCCGCAACGAGCGCAACCCUCGUUCUAUGUUGCCAGCACGUGAUGGUGGGGACUCAUAGGAGACUGCCGGGGUCAACUCGGAGGAAGGUGGGGACGACGUCAAAUCAUCAUGCCCCUUAUGUCUUGGGCUUCACGCAUGCUACAAUGGCCGGUACAAAGGGUUGCGAUACUGUGAGGUGGAGCUAAUCCCAAAAAGCCGGUCUCAGUUCGGAUUGGGGUCUGCAACUCGACCCCAUGAAGUCGGAGUCGCUAGUAAUCGCAGAUCAGCAACGCUGCGGUGAAUACGUUCCCGGGCCUUGUACACACCUCCCGUCAAGUCACGAAAGUUGGUAACACCCGAAGCUC
rnacentral:rRNA from 1 species